GAUGAACGCUGGCGGCGUGCCUAAUACAUGCAAGUAGAACGCUGAAGGAGGAGCUUGCUCUUCUGGAUGAGUUGCGAACGGGUGAGUAACGCGUAGGUAACCUGCCUGGUAGCGGGGGAUAACUAUUGGAAACGAUAGCUAAUACCGCAUGACAACAGUUAUUGCAUGAUAACUGUUUAAAAGGGGCAACUGCUCCACUACCAGAUGGACCUGCGUUGUAUUAGCUAGUUGGUGAGGUAACGGCUCACCAAGGCGACGAUACAUAGCCGACCUGAGAGGGUGAUCGGCCACACUGGGACUGAGACAAGGCCCAGACUCCUACGGGAGGCAGCAGUAGGGAAUCUUCGGCAAUGGACGGAAGUCUGACCGAGCAACGCCGCGUGAGUGAAGAAGGUUUUCGGAUCGUAAAGCUCUGUUGUAAGAGAAGAACGAGUGUGAGAGUGGAAAGUUCACACUGUGACGGUAUCUUACCAGAAAGGGACGGCUAACUACGUG
rnacentral:rRNA from 1 species